AUGUAGAAGAAACACAGUCAUAGCUAUGAAUCGUCCAAAUGGGUACUUGAAAGGGGAGUAGCGGAUAGAGAGAGCGUGGUCUCAUUGGAAGAAGUUAGGCGAGCCCAAACUUAUAGUGGUACCAAUGGUUGACAACUCAGAGCUUCCUUUCCGUCUUCUAUGUCGAUGCAUCGAUGAUGUACACAGUUGCUUGGAAGAAACUGGCGAUGAUGGGGUACUUUCAGCAGAUCUUCUUCUUGAGAAUCCAGCCCUCUUUGCUGGAUAUCAAACUGCUGAAUGGGGGAUUGGGUGUUGCAGGAAUGAAAGAAGACGAUAAGCUAGAUAAGGCUGAGUUACUGAUAGAAUAUUUUAGGUUUUGUGAGCGAUAUCCAGUGCCUUGGAGAAUCAUCUGUUCUCAUGUACACAAGUUGUUGGGAGAGUGGUUUAGGAUCCAGCCAAGUGUGCGAGAGGAUUUUAACAAACAAUACAAACUCACCUUUGAAUUUCUUUAUGAUUUAGUGAACAGAUUAAAGGAACUUGGGGUGAGAAUACCACUUUAUGCUGAAGGAUACUCAGCAGGCAGUAUCUACAAAUUGACUUGUUGCUCAAGUUCUGUUCUAACUUGAAAGAUGGAGCCAGCUAUGGUGAAUCACCACGUCAGUUUUCUCACUCUAGUUCAUUCUCGUAAAAUGUUGUACGCUCACUAAUGUUGGUCAGAGCAGGUGUAGGGUUAAACGUAUCUCAGCCUUUUACCUCAUGUUUUGUAUAAUUAUAUACUGACUUUUUUCUCGUAUCAUUGAGAUAAUUUACAUACUUUUUUUUGUACAUCUCGAUUUGUAUCCUGACUAAUUAUUUGUAAGGUGACUAAAUUGUUAUCCAAUAGAUGCAAUUGGACUGAUUAUUUGGGAGGUUAUGCUAUAGUGCUUCGACAGUAUGAUCAAGACCUCCUUAGUUUAUUUUCCAUAAAGUGUGGUGCUGGGUGCUUGUAGUGUCAAGAGCACCAUGUAGACAAAUUUACUGUCUGCUAGUUUGAAAACAUCAGUGCAUGUCUUAAGUUUUAACUUUUAUAAUGCGACAUUGUAUUUGGCACUCGUUUAUUUUCAUGGGCAACAAAAAAAGGAAACAAAUUCAGACUUGCUACAAAAAAAGAGUUCAUUGUUCUGCAAAUCUCAUCGUCAUUGUAUAUUUCUGUCUUCUUCAAUGACAUAUGGUGAUUUCCCUAGUCCUUCCUUACCUUCAACUGAGAAACUGAAAAAAACAGAGUCAAGCAUUCCAACAUCGUUUAGAGGAAUUGAGGAAUCUAAGGGAGCAAAUACGAGCUCUGGCAAGGGAGAUACAAUCAGUCACUCGACUCAUAUAUGGCGUUUUCAUGGGUAUGAUUUUCUAACCAUUAAGUGCUGGUCAGGCUAGCGGCAAAUUGCUAAUAUUGGAUCAUUUUCUUCAAAAACUUCAUGCGUGUGGACAUAGGGUUCUUCUUUUCUCUCAGAUGAUUCAAACACUUAAUAUACUCCAGGUAAAUGUUUGUAAUCUGGUAUGUUUUACAAAAACCCUAUUAGAGAUGUUUAAACAGUUCAACCUGCAGUUGAAUGGUUCUUCUGCUAGGUUAAUCUUGUAUAGGAUUAUCUGGAACUGAGGAAGUAUUCUUAUGAGCGUCUUGAUGGUUCAAUUCAUGCGGAAGAGUGCUUUGCUGCAAUCAAGAGCUUUAGUCAUAAUAGAUCAAAGUAUGAAGCUCAACAAAAUGCAGCAUUUGUUUUCUUGAUUUAAACAAGAGCUGGUGGAGUUGGGUUGAAUCUUGUGGCUGCUGAUACAGUGAGUGACAACUACUGGCCGAACUUUUAUUAUCGGAUUGGUUUAAGAUUAUAUACUUAGGUCAUAUUUUACGAGCAAGAUUGGAAUCCUCAAGUAGACAAGCAUGCCUUGUAGCGUGCUCACCAUUUAUGGAGCCUUUCAUUUUGUUUACGGGGACCGCACCCGUCCUUCUAAAGUGUCUCCAUCAGACCCGACCAUCAUAUUCAGAAUCAAAGGCUCUUACUAUUGAUGAUUUAUGCCUUUUCCUUCGGGGCUUCUAUUGGCCUUCUUACCAAAUAUCUCUUCGAAAUGCAACAAAAGAAAAUGCCGGCAAUUGAAUUUGAAUUGUGGCCAGAAGUAAAGUCGAUCUAUUGUAGUGAACGAUGAAGAUUUUUUGUAGUACUAUUGUCAUAUAUGUUUGAGUGCAUUUGGUUUUGUGGAAUUUAUUGAUAGUAGAGAUCUUUAAG